AUACGGAGGGUGCAAGCGUUAAUCGGAAUUACUGGGCGUAAAGAGUACGUAGGUUGUUCGUUUAGUCAGAUGUGAAAGCCCAGGGCUCAACCUUGGAACUGCAUUUGAAACUGGCGAACUAGAGUAUGGUAGAGGGGGGUAGAAUUCAUAGUGUAGCGGUGAAAUGCGUAGAUAUUAUGAGGAAUACCGGUGGCGAAGGCGGCCCCCUGGCCCAAUACUGACACUGAGGUACGAAAGCGUGGGUAGCGAACGGGAUUAGAAACCCCGGUAGUCC
rnacentral:rRNA from 1 species